GCAGGGGUUAUAACUCAGUGGUAGAGUGCUUGCCUAACAUGAACAAGGCCCUGGGUUCAAUUCCCAGCACUGUA
rnacentral:tRNA from 1 species